UCCUACGGGAGGCAGCAGUAGGGAAUCUUCCGCAAUGGGCGAAAGCCUGACGGAGCAACGCCGCGUGAGUGAUGAAGGGUUUCGGCUCGUAAAACUCUGUUAUUAGGGAAGAACAAACGUGUAAGUAACUGUGCACGUCUUGACGGUACCUAAUCAGAAAGCCACGGCUAACUACGUGCCAGCAGCCGCGGUAAUACGUAGGUGGCAAGCGUUAUCCGGAAUUAUUGGGCGUAAAGCGCGCGUAGGCGGUUUCUUAAGUCUGAUGUGAAAGCCCACGGCUCAACCGUGGAGGGUCAUUGGAAACUGGGAAACUUGAGUGCAGAAGAGGAAGGUGGAAUUCCAUGUGUAGCGGUGAAAUGCGCAGAGAUAUGGAGGAACACCAGUGGCGAAGGCGACUUUCUGGUCUGUAACUGACGCUGAUGUGCGAAAGCGUGGGGAUCAAACAGGAUUAGAUACCCUGGUAGUCCA
rnacentral:rRNA from 1 species